CAGCAGCCACGGGAAUACGUAGGGUGCGAGCGUUAAUCGGAAUUACUGGGCGUAAAGCGUGCGCAGGCGGUUAUGUAAGACAGGUGUGAAAUCCCCGGGCUUAACCUGGGAACUGCGCUUGUGACUGCACAGCUAGAGUAUGGCAGAGGGGGGUGGAAUUCCACGUGUAGCAGUGAAAUGCGUAGAGAUGUGGAGGAACACCGAUGGCGAAGGCAGCCCCCUGGGCCAAUACUGACGCUGAGGCUCGAAAGCGUGGGGAGCAAACAGGAUUAGAGACCCGUGUAGUCCCUGUCUCUUAUAC
rnacentral:rRNA from 1 species